UACGAAGGGGGCUAGCGUUGUUCGGAAUUACUGGGCGUAAAGCGCACGUAGGCGGAUUGCUAAGUCAGGGGUGAAAUCCCGGGGCUCAACCUCGGAACUGCCUUUGAUACUGACAAUCUCGAGUCCGAUAGAGGUGGGUGGAAUUCCUAGUGUAGAGGUGAAAUUCGUAGAUAUUAGGAAGAACACCGGUGGCGAAGGCGGCCCACUGGAUCGGUACUGACGCUGAGGUGCGAAAGCGUGGGGAGCAAACAGG
rnacentral:rRNA from 1 species